rnacentral:lncRNA from 1 species
UGUUAGCUGUUAUUGUCUUAUUCAUUGUUAGCUGUUAUUGGACUAUUAGGUUUUUUGUUUUCUGUUAUUGUGAUAAUAUAUUUGCUGUUAACUGUUAUUGAAAAUUGGAAUGUUAUCAAUUUUUUUUGACAGCCCAUAUUCGGUAGAAAUUGAAGAUUAUUGGACAUUGGGGUCUACCACUAGUAAUAUGGUGGUCCCGUAUUCGGUGAAGGAUUUCAUUAAUAUAUACCCAUCACAGAUCAACACAUAAACAUAUUAAUAUCAGUGAG